UACGUGCACGACGUACACGGGAUGUCGUCACAAGUUCUUUUCGGGAACGGAUGUGAGACCAAAAAAAUUCUUUAAAAUCGCCGAAAUUUUCCGUCGAUGCCGAAAAACGCGAGUUUUUGUCGUCGCGCACUGUUUUUGUUUACGUCUCGUCACUCGCGACACUUUCGCAACGCAAUGAUGCCCCAAAAAAGCGCCUCGUAACUGUCAAUGGCGAGGCUCCUUCAAUUCAGACCGACGUCGUCGUGUGUGUACGCGGUACGGGUACGGGUACGGGCGAGAAAAAAAGAGACGACGAGCGAAAUGAGGUAAUGAAGGACUACAGCUUUUCCGCCGUUUUGACGCAAAAUUGCCGGUUUCGUUUUGGCAUUUUAUCGCAUUUCGUCGCUACUCACCUCGCAGCGGGCUUUUAAUGGGCUUUCGCACACUUUGCGCGGCUUUUAUCCUGGAAAAAUGCAAGAAUUUCAGAAACUUAAUGAUACCCACAAAACUUAUGGAACCUGUGAAAUGUGCGCUGGAAAAGAUGCCCGCUCGUGUGACAGCGAAGCCGACUGCCAAACGUCACUUUUGACAUUUCUAACAACACAACAUUCGGCUCGAAUCCUUGAAAAUCCCGAAAAACCCGCAAAUUUCGAUUAAAAAUCGACUUUUUAACAGCAAAAAUCACUUUUUAUCGUAAAAAUUGCCAUCAAACCACCUGAAAAAACCAAAAAAUCAUCAAAACCGAGGAGAAAUCCGAGAAAAACAAUUUCGCACGCCGCCGUAACAAAACAAAACACAGAAAAUGAUUAUCCCCGUGAGAUGUUUUACUUGCGGAAAAGUAAUUGGCAACAAAUGGGAGGCUUAUUUGGGUCUUUUGCAAGCUGAAUAUACAGAAGGUGACGCCCUUGAUGCUUUGGGCUUGAAACGAUAUUGCUGCAGACGAAUGCUCCUUGGACACGUUGAUUUGAUCGAAAAAUUGCUAAAUUAUGCCCCGCUUGAGAAAUAAAGAGAUAAUUUUAUGAUUAAUUAGGACGUUAAAAUUAUUAAAAAUGUUUUAA